AACAUCGCGCACCUGCGGGAACCUGCGGAGGGAUCAUUACAGAGUGUAAAAACUCCCAAAACCCAUGUGAACAUACCUUUUUGUUGCUUCGGCGGGAUCGCCCCGGGCGCCUUGUGUGCCCCGGAGUCAGGCGCCCGCCGGGGGACCCAAACUCUUGUUUUUAACGAGUAUCUUCUGAGUAACGUUUUUAAAUAAAUAAAAACUUUCAACAAUGGAUCU
rnacentral:misc_RNA from 1 species